rnacentral:lncRNA from 1 species
GAUCCCAACCUGAUGCCUCCCCGAAAGGCAUCCACCAGACGAUCUACGACCUCCGUCAUCAGAUCUCAGCAAGAUCCACUAGCUCCGACCUCGUCUCUAGUUUUUCAGGCUCCUCCUCCUCCGGCAAUAGCAGUCAUUAUGGAGCAGUUCGACCUGCUGGUUCAGCAAGUUAGGGGCCUCACCAAAGUGGUGCAGGCCAUGCAGCAGCAGCAUUAGUAGCUGUAGGCAUCUGUGCGGCUAGAAAGAGCAUCGUCAGAGUUCCAGAAUCCGACAAUCGGGCGGCCCACUUGAGCCAGUCGCCCUGUAUCCUCCGAAAAGAAGAAGCAGAGGGCGGAAAGCCCUCUAUCUGAUCACAAUUCCACCCCCGAAAGAUCCCUACCUCCAUUCUGCCAAAAAACCCUUGAGAUUCAUGAUCGAAAGGAUCUCCUGGAUCAAAAGUUUCAAGAGAUGAACCGACGGA